rnacentral:rRNA from 1 species
AGCUCCAAUAGCGUAUAUUUUAGUUGUUGCAGUUAAAAAGCUCGUAGCCGUAUUUCUGGUGGGAGAAUGCAGUCCGACUUUAUGUCGGUACUCGCAUCCUCCGGCCAUCCUUGGGUCUAGCCAGUUUGGCAUUAAGUUGUCGAGCUGGGGAUGCCCAUCGUUUACUGUGAAAAAAUUAGAGUGUUCAAAGCAGACUUAUGUCGUUGAAUAUAUUAGCAUGGAAUAAUAAAAGAGGACAUCAGUGCUAUUUUGUUGGUUUGCGCACCGAUGUAAUGAUAAAUAGGAACAGUUGGGGCUAUUCGUAUUCAUUUGUAAGAGGUGAAAUUCUUAGAUUAAAGGAAGACGAACUACUGCGAAAGCAUUUAGCAGGGAUGUUUUCA